rnacentral:lncRNA from 1 species
AGUCAUGUCGACAAAGACUCCAUGCGUAAAGCCCACAUUGGCAAUCCACGUGCUAGGAGGAUCGAAAGGCUUUUAGUCCUUCCCGCAUGCACAGAUAGUCCAGAUUCACAUACGCCUGAAUUUGAACAAACAACUUUGAUGAACUAUGCAUUGAUCCAACGACUUGCUGAUCAACAGCUUAUAUAUGAGGAGCUAACAGAUCCAACGAUUAGGAUCACUCGCAGGAGAAAAAGCUGGGUUUCCCUUAAAUGCCCUCGAUCGGAUAGCUGAGAUUAAACGGAGAGAGUUAUUUAAACCUCUCUUUAGCCGGCCUUUCAAACCCU